rnacentral:ncRNA from 18 species
CUCACAUGAUGAUCUUCUAGAUGACGAGUCUUAUUUGAGUUUUCAAUGCAGACAACAUCUUUUUUUUACCAUUCAUGCAAAACUGACA